UACGUAGGCAGCGAGCGUUGUUCGAAUUACUGGGCGUAAAGGGCGCGUAGGCGGCCUGUUAAGUCGAACGUGAAAUCCCUCGGCUCAACCGGGGAACUGCGUCCGAUACUGGUGGGCUCGAAUCCGGGAGAGGGAUGUGGAAUUCCAGGUGUAGCGGUGAAAUGCGUAGAUAUCUGGAGGAACACCGGUGGCGAAGGCGGCAUCCUGGACCGGUAUUGACGCUGAUGGCGCGAAAGCCAGGGGAGCAAACGGG
rnacentral:rRNA from 1 species